rnacentral:lncRNA from 1 species
UUUUCUCAUCACAUUGAUACACUACCUCCACAUAAGAUACACAGUCAUGGUAAUGUAAUAGAGUUAGUUGAUAUGCAAGAGUCUGGAAUUCUUACUUGUACAGCAACGAAUGAAUUUGGAAUGGAUACCGCAAAAGCAACAGUUAUCGUUCAUCAUAGUAAGUAAAACUAGCCAUUGUAGAAUACAAAGUAUGUUAUAUGUGGCCAAUGUGUUUUUUUUUACAAAGACGUAAGCUGUUCCUAACAGUUUUUGAUAAUUAAUGUAGAUUUUCAUAAGGAAGUACCACUACUGGACGAAAAAACGUCUGUCCAUACCAGUAACAGUCGUUCUAAGACUGAUAAUGUUUGUUAAAGUUGUAACAGCUGUUAAAUUUCACUGCUGCCGUUAUUUUGUAACUGUCCCAACUUUAAAAGUGUUUGUCUACAACAUAAAUCGACUGCAACAACGCAAGAAAUAACUGCCACUGUCAUUAAAGGACUGACACAACUAUUUCAAGGUUGUAACAGUUGAUUUACAACUGUCCCAACUCGGAAAACGUUGCAACAGCCAUAAAUAAACUGAUUAAACGCCUAAAGGGUUGUCACAGUCGUAAUAAAACUGAUGCAACCAUUUGAAAGUUGAAACAGUUGUUUUAUUACUGUCCCAACACGGAAAACGUUGAAACAGUCAUAAAUAAACUGUUUAAACGCAGAAAAAGUUGUAACAGUUAAAAUAUAAUACUAGUAGCUACAACCAUUGUAUAGGCAUAGCUAAUUUAUAAGCGUAGCAACUUCCAAACAUUGAUCUUCAUGUACACUCAAAAGUCACGGAUACAAAAUGUCUGACAGUCAGGCCCGGGAAAAAGGUUAAAUUAUUUGUAAAACAAUUUUACCGUGUGAAAUAUAAGGUUUUGAAUAAGAGAAACAACUUUCAUUCCCAUUUAAUACAUUAAUUUUAGAUAGAUAUUGAUUGAAAAAAAUAGUAUUUUGAAAUAUUUGCCGCUGAACACAUUUUUAUAUUCCUCGGUUAUUUAGUGAAUGUACUGAAUUUAUAUAUUUUUUAACACUUCCUCGCCCUUACAAAUGUAUCUCUUCGAACAAAUAAAAUCGGAACCAGCACUAGAUAUCUGCAAUUUCACUAGAUAAAAUAUAACUGCUAACAGAAAAAUCGAAAAACGUUACCAAAUAUAUUUGUAACCAAAUGUAUCUUUAAAACUGAAUUAACAGUUGACAAAUUUUUAUAUUAUUUAUUUUUUAUUAAAUUAGUUAGGUGUGAAAUCAUUCAUGCAUACAUUACACUAAUUCAUGGUCCCGUUGCUUUCUAUGUUAAAUUCCUCCAUUUCAAGCAGGCACACCUCUUUCAUUUUAAGUUCAAAUAAAGUGGCAAUCAUUGCAUGCUAAAGCAACACUUUAUGGUGUCUUGUACUGAUAAAAUCAACAUACCUUUAAUGGCAUAUAAGAAAGAACUGGUUUCCGGAACUUCGGAUGUACCAAAACAGGUACGUCAGAUCUGACAAACAGACAAAAUGUACCCUCUUUUUGAAAUUUAGUGGAGUUUUUUUAAUAUUUAAAGUUAAAAGUCCAAAAGUGUUCUACAAUGAUCACCAGUCCUUCAUCUUUCAUUUGAUGCCAAAAAUACCUAAAUAUCCUACAUAUUUUGAAAGUUACACUCAUGCGUAGGAACUAUUUGUGUUAAAUAUGUACUACUUACUGGUAUGUGCUUUCUGGCCGGGCCCUAAUUACUGGUGUUACACCAUAAGUCAUGUAAAAACAUGUUUCUCUAUUUUUUGUGCUAUUUUCACAUUUCAUGAGCAGUGUGAGAAAAAAUAUUUCUCAUCAUAGUGAAAUAUCUGUUCCCAGCAAAUUAUUGGUCGAAAUUUAAUUAUGACAUUUAGUUACCUUGUUUGUGACGUAAUGAAAAAAGGCGAUCAUGUCUGAUGACGUCAUCUAUAAAUGUUUGAAAAGGAAGGAUAAAAAUCAUUAGAUAACCAGAUUUCACCCCUAUUACUCGUCUAUUACGAUAUUUCUCAAAUCUCAACAUUUAAAUUUUAAUUAUUUCAAACGCUUGGCAUGCCUCGCGCUUUAAAUAAUAAAAUGUAACUGUUUCGAGUGAAAACGUAUCGUAACACACUUGUUGCAGUUCAGGAAUCUGUAUAUAUACUAUAUCAUCAAUUAAAGUGUGGACUUCUACGUUUUUAUGUGAAUAUCAUUACUGCUUGUUAUGACGAUGAUGUAUGUUUUUUUUAUAUUGCAGGUUCGGCAGUGGUAGGAUGAUAAUCAUUGUCCAGAAACAGAAAAUUCAAGGUUUUUUUUU